AUGUUCAGAAGAAGAGCCUGAAGGUCCAGCAGUGGUUCAGAUGUUCAGAAGAAGAGCCUGAAGGUCCAGCAGUGGUUCAGAUGUUCAGAAGAAGAGCCUGAAGGUCCAGCAGUGGUUCAGAUGUUCAGAAGAAGAGCCUGAAGGUCCAGCAGUGGUUCAGAUGUUCAGAAGAAGAGCCUGAAGGUCCAGCAGUGGUUCAGAUGUUCAGAAGAAGAGCCUGAAGGUCCAGCAGUGGUUCAGUUGUUCAGAAGAGCCUGAAGGUCCAGCAGUGGUUCAGAUGUUCAGAAGAAGAGCCUGAAGGUCCAGCAGUGGUUCAGUUGUUCAGAAGAAGAGCCUGAAGGUCCAGCAGUGGUUCAGAUGUUCAGAAGAAGAGCCUGAAGGUCCAGCAGUGGUUCAGAUGUUCAGAAGAAGAGCCUGAAGGUCCAGCAGUGGUUCAGAUGUUCAGAAGAGCCUGAAGGUCCAGCAGUGGUUCAGAUGUUCAGAAGAGCCUGAAGGUCCAGCAGUGGUUCAGAUGUUCGCUCAGCUGGCUCUAAGUGGGUAAAAAUAUUCAAACAAAUCCUUCACUGAAUAUUUUCUUCACCAGUGGAACAGCAUGAAUGAAAACAUGUCAGAGCUGAUUGACUUCCUGUUGGGUCACAGAUCCAGUUAAUGUCUUGUUAGGACGAGUUUAUGUUUAAAUUUAAUUCUCUUAAACCCUUUAUAUGAAUAAACUAUAAAGUGUGAUGAAGAAGAAACCAAACUGUGUAAAACAGGCUCAGUGUUGGACUGAGAAGGUCGCUGAUGUAGAACGUUUCUCCUGAUAAAUGAACACCAGAGACUGAUGAGAGCAGCCAGAGCUGGUUUAUGAGCUUCCAGUAGUCGAAUCAUCUGAUGAAAUCACUGUUCAGGUGGUUUGUUUCUGCCAUAUUUAUGUUCAGUCUGACUGCAGCUACAAAAACAGAAGCUGUAGAAACUCUGCAGUCAUGAAAAAAGAAACUUUAAAAUUGUUGAUUUUAUCAUUUUAAAGGUUACCAUUUAUUAAAAACUGUUAAAAGUCAUGAAGUGAAACUUCAACAUUUGGUCUAUUUUCUGUAUUUUGUUUCUCUGCUCCUUUAAUUCUUAUGGAGACGCUUUGAUCGGUUCCAGUCCGACUCCUCUGUAGCCGAACAUGAUUUCUUUAAAGCCUCGUAUUUAUUCAAGUUGAAUUUCUGGGUCUCUUGACUACAGAGCAGUUCUAGCUGCUGUAGAAAUUAAAACAUUCAGUCCACACAGACUUUAAACCAGUAAAGGUGGAAACUUUAACAAGGAAACCAAACUGGGAG
ensembl:lncRNA